CUACGGGGGGCUCCAGUGGGGAAUAUUGGACAAUGGGGGAAACCCUGAUCCAGCAAUGCCGCGUGUGUGAAGAAGGCCUGCGGGUUGUAAAGCACUUUCGGUUGGGAGGACUGCUUCUAGCACUAAUAUUGUUGGAAGUUGACGUUACCUUCAGAAGAAGCACUGGCUAACUCCGUGCCAGCAGCCGCGGUAAUACGGAGGGUGCAAGCGUAAAUCGGAAUUACUGGGCGUAAAGCGCGCGUAGGCGGCUAGAUCAGUCGGGUGUGAAAGCCCCGGGCUUAACCUGGGAACUGCAUCCGAUACUGUCUAGCUUGAGUACAGGAGAGGAGAGUGGAAUUCCACAUGUAGCGGUGAAAUGCGUAGAUAUGUGGAGGAACACCAAUGGCGAAGGCAGCUCUCUGGCCUGAUACUGACGCUGAGGUGCGAAAGCGUGGGGAGCAAACAGGAUUAGAUACCCUCGUAGUC
rnacentral:rRNA from 1 species